rnacentral:rRNA from 1 species
CAUGCUUUACACAUGCAAGUCGAACGGCAGCGGGGGCUUCGGCCUGCCGGCGAGUGGCGAACGGGUGAGUAAUGCAUCGGAACGUACCCAGUCGUGGGGGAUAACUACGCGAAAGCGUGGCUAAUACCGCAUACGCCCUGAGGGGGAAAGCGGGGGACCUUCGGGCCUCGCGCGAUUGGAGCGGCUGAUGUCGGAUUAGCUGGUUGGUGGGGUAAAGGCCUACCAAGGCGACGAUCCGUAGCGGGUCUGAGAGGAUGAUCCGCCACACUGGGACUGAGACACGGCCCAGACUCCUACGGGAGGCAGCAGUGGGGAAUUUUGGACAAUGGGGGCAACCCUGAUCCAGCCAUGCCGCGUGAGUGAAGAAGGCCUUCGGGUUGUAAAGCUCUUUCAGACGGAAAGAAAUCGCCAUUUUGAAUACGGAUGGUGGAUGAC